rnacentral:rRNA from 1 species
AACGAACGCUGGCGGCAUGCCUAACACAUGCAAGUCGAACGAGACCUUCGGGUCUAGUGGCGCACGGGUGCGUAACGCGUGGGAACCUGCCCUUAGGUUCGGAAUAACUCCCCGAAAGGGGUGCUAAUACCGGAUAAUGUCUUCGGACCAAAGAUUUAUCGCCUUUGGAUGGGCCCGCGUUGGAUUAGCUAGUUGGUAGGGUAAAAGCCUACCAAGGCGACGAUCCAUAGCUGGUCUGAGAGGAUGAUCAGCCACACUGGGACUGAGACACGGCCCAGACUCCUACGGGGGGCAGAAGGGGGGAAUAGUGGACAGGGGGCAAGAGCUUGAACCAGCAAGGCCGCGGGAGUGAUGAGGCCCUUGGGGUUGUAAAGCUUUUUUCCCCGGGAGGAUAAUGACAGCACCGGGAGAAUAAGCCCCGGCAAACUCCGUC